GUGGUGGGACAUGGAAGACAGGUUAUGGGACAGUGGUGGGACAUGGAAGACAGGUUAUGGGACAGUGGUGGGACAUGGAAGACAGGUUAUGGGACAUGGGAGACAGGUUAUGGGACAGUGGUGGGACAUGGAAGACAGGUUAUGGGACAGUGGUGGGACAUGGAAGACAGGUUAUGUAACUUCAUUGUGUAGGGUUAUUCAGAAUUUGAAACAAU